GACGAACGCUGGCGGCGUGCUUAACACAUGCAAGUCGAACGGAAAGGCCCUGCUUGCAGGGUGCUCGAGUGGCGAACGGGUGAGUAACACGUGGGUGAUCUGCCCCUUACUUUGGGAUAAGCCUGGGAAACUGGGUCUAAUACUGGAUAGGACCAUGCUGUAGGUGGUGUGGUGGAAAGAUUAGUUUCGGUAAGGGAUGAGCUCGCGGCCUAUCAGCUUGUUGGUGGGGUAAUGGCCUACCAAGGCGUCGACGGGUAGCCGGCCUGAGAGGGUGGACGGCCACAUUGGGACUGAGAUACGGCCCAGACUCCUACGGGAGGCAGCAGUGGGGAAUAUUGCACAAUGGGCGCAAGCCUGAUGCAGCGACGCCGCGUGGGGGAUGACGGCCCUCGGGUUGUAAACUCCUUUCAGCCAUGACGAAGCCCUUGUGGUGACGGUAGUGGUAGAAGAAGCACCGGCUAACUACGUG
rnacentral:rRNA from 1 species